rnacentral:other from 1 species
UCCUGCCGUGCGCGUGUGGGUCACACGUUCCGACCCAACACCCAUGACACCGGGAGCCCGCCUCUGACCGUGGACGACAGGCCUCCCGCCCCGGUGGGCGGCUUGGGGACGUCGGAAGCGGCCAGGAGGGCACCCACCUGUUGAGAGACAGGAUCGGGAACGGCGACCCGACGGCACGGCGGGA